rnacentral:rRNA from 1 species
UACGUAGGGUGCGAGCGUUGUCCGGAAUUAUUGGGCGUAAAGAGCUCGUAGGCGGUGUGUCACGUCGGCCGUGAAAACCUGGGGCUUAACUCUGGGCGUGCGGUCGAUACGGGCAUCACUAGAGUUCGGCAGGGGAGACUGGAAUUCCUGGUGUAGCGGUGAAAUGCGCAGAUAUCAGGAGGAACACCGGUGGCGAAGGCGGGUCUCUGGACAGUUCCUGACACUGAGACACGAAGGCCAGGGGAGCAAACGGG